rnacentral:rRNA from 1 species
UACGUAGGGUGCAAGCGUUAAUCGGAAUUACUGGGCGUAAAGCGUGCGCAGGCGGUUUUGUAAGUCUGUCGUGAAAUCCCCGGGCUCAACCUGGGAAUUGCGAUGGAGACUGCAAGGCUAGAAUCUGGCAGAGGGGGGUAGAAUUCCACGUGUAGCAGUGAAAUGCGUAGAGAUGUGGAGGAACACCGAUGGCGAAGGCAGCCCCCUGGGCCAACACUGACGCUCAGGCACGAAAGCGUUGGGAGCAAACAGG